rnacentral:rRNA from 1 species
UACGAAGGGGGCUAGCGUUGCUCGGAAUUACUGGGCGUAAAGCGCACGUAGGCGGAUAUUUAAGUCAGGGGUGAAAUCCCAGAGCUCAACUCUGGAACUGCCUUUGAUACUGGGUAUCUUGAGUAUGGAAGAGGUAAGUGGAAUUGCGAGUGUAGAGGUGAAAUUCGUAGAUAUUCGCAGGAACACCAGUGGCGAAGGCGGCUUACUGGUCCAUUACUGACGCUGAGGUGCGAAAGCGUGGGGAGCAAACAGG